rnacentral:rRNA from 1 species
AUGAACGCUGGCGGCGUGCCUAACACAUGCAAGUCGAGCGGUAUAUAUUUUAUCAAAUCUUCGGAAGAGAGACGAUAUAGAGAGCGGCGGACGGGUGAGUAACGCGUAGGCAACCUGCCCCAUACAGAGGGAUAGCCUCGGGAAACCGGGAUUAAAACCUCAUAACGCCAAGAGUUCACAUGGGCUUUUGGCCAAAGAUUUAUCGGUAUGGGAUGGGCCUGCGUCUGAUUAGCUAGUUGGUGGGGUAACGGCCUACCAAGGCAACGAUCAGUAGCCGACCUGAGAGGGUAAUCGGCCACAUUGGAACUGAGACACGGUCCAAACUCCUACGGGAGGCAGCAGUGGGGAAUAUUGCACAAUGGGCGAAAGCCUGAUGCAGCAACGCCGCGUGAGCGAUGAAGGCCUUUGGGUCGUAAAGCUCUGUCCUUGGGGAAGAAAAAAAUGACGGUACCCUUGGAGGAAGCCCCGGCUAACUACGU